GUUAGAAGCCUGGCUCGGGGCCCUAACACUGUUGCAAGAAGAUUUAAAGGAUACAUCAUUAAUGGUUUCAGGUUUCGUACAAGAGACCGUGAGAGGGACUUGAAAACACAGAAUAGUGGAGUUGUAGUGACGGCAAAGACAUCAAGCUUUGUAAGUACAAGUGAUAGAAACCCUGUUAUAGGGGAUGUGGAUUACUAUGGUGUUUUAACAGACAUUAUCGAGUUGGAUUAUUGUGGGUCCAAGAAAGUUGUAUUAUUUAGGUGUGAUUGGGUGGAUGUAAGAACUCAGGGCAGGGGAAUCAAGAAGGAUGAAUUUGGGUUCACGCUCGUGAAUUUUAAACAAUUAUGGCAUACUGGUCGGAACCUGUAUGAUGAACCAUAUGUCUUAGCAACCCAAGUACAACAGGUAUUCUAUGUCCCCGAUCCCAUAGAUCGUGAUUGGCAUGUUGUUAUCAGGUCAAAACCAAGGGAUUUGUUCGAAAUGGGCAUGAAUGAUUCAUUUGUUGAUAAUGAUACAUACCUUCAGAGCUUGCCUUGCAUUAAUCAUACAUUGGAAGCGACAUGCUUGCCAAUGAUGAUAAUGUGAGUUGGGAUAGGAUGGAUGUGGAGGGAAACAAAGUUAACACUCCACAAAACUUAUCUAAUUUGAUUAAAGAGGACCACGAUUCUGGGUCAGAAUCUGAUGAUUAGGAAAUGAAGAUGUCGACUUCCGACCAUCAUCAUUCGAGCUUUAUUGACCCGGUCCCGACCACCAGCCAGGUUGGACAAAGUUCAGAUAGUUCAGCACUGACUCCGGAUUAAGUGGAAUAUCGACGAGGACCGUCGAAAUUGGGUAAUGAAGUCCAUCGAAGCUUCAUGGAAGGAGUGGAAGAAGAGGUUAAAAAAAGAACACUGCAACCGAUAUUUGACUAAUGAGGAACAACUAGCUCACUGUCCUAAUCGAUUAGAGCCGACACACUGGAAGUGGCUUGUCACCAAUUGGUUAAGUGAUGA